UACGUAGGGACCAAGCGUUGUUCGGAUUUACUGGGCGUAAAGGGCGCGUAGGCGGCGUGUCAAGUCGAUUGUGAAAUCUCCGGGCUUAACUCGGAACGGCCAAUCGAUACUGACGUGCUAGAGUGCAGAAAGGGCAAUCGGAAUUCUUGGUGUAGCGGUGAAAUGCGUAGAUAUCAAGAGGAACACCUGAGGCGAAGGCGGGUUGCUAGGCUGACACUGACGCUGAGUGCGCGAAAGCCAGGGGAGCAAACGGG
rnacentral:rRNA from 1 species